rnacentral:rRNA from 1 species
GACGAACGCUGGCGGCGUGCCUAAUACAUGCAAGUCGAGCGAAGUUUUUCUGGUGCUUGCACUAGAAAAACUUAGCGGCGAACGGGUGAGUAACACGUAAAGAACCUGCCUCAUAGACUGGGACAACUAUUGGAAACGAUAGCUAACACCGGAUAACAGUAUUUCUCGCAUGAGAGAUAUUUAAAAGUUGGUUAUGCUAACACUAUGAGAUGGCUUUGCGGUGCAUUAGCUAGUUGGUGGGGUAAAGGCCCACCAAGGCGACGAUGCAUAGCCGACCUGAGAGGGUGAUCGGCCACACUGGGACUGAGACACGGCCCAGACUCCUACGGGAGGCAGCAGUAGGGAAUCUUCCGCAAUGGGCGAAAGCCUGACGGAGCAACGCCGCGUGAGUGAAGAAGGAUUUCGGUUCGUAAAGCUCUGUUGUUAGGGAAGAAUGGAUAUGUAGUAACUAUACAUGUAAGAGACGGUACCUAACCAGAAAGCCACGGCUAACUACGUG